rnacentral:miRNA from 1 species
AGCAAGAGGAUUGGAGGGGCU